rnacentral:rRNA from 1 species
GCUCAGAUUGAACGCUGGCGACGCCUAACACAUGCAAGUCGAGCGAGAAAGCACUUCGGUGUGAGUAGAGCGGCGGACGGGUGAGUAACGCGUAGGAAUUUGCCCAGUAGUGGGGGACAACAUGUGGAAACGCAUGCAUACCGCAUACGCCCUAUGGGGGAAAGCAGGGGAUCUUCGGACCUUGCGCUAUUGGAGAAGCCUGCGUCGGAUUAGCUAGUUGGUGGGGUAAAGGCCCACCAAGGCGACGAUCCGUAGCUGGUCUGAGAGGAUGAUCAGCCACACUGGGACUGAGACACGGCCCAGACUCCUACGGGAGGCAGCAGUGGGGAAUAUUGGACAAUGGGGGCAACCCUGAUCCAGCCAUACCGCGUGUGUGAAGAAGGCCUUAGGGUUGUAAAGCACUUUCAGUAGGGAGGAAAAGUAAGUAGUUAAUAGUUGCUUACCCUGACGUUACCUACAGAAGAAGCACCGGCAAACUCCGUGCCAGCAGCCGCGGUAAUACGGAGGGUGCGAGCGUUAAUCGGAAUUACUGGGCGUAAAGCGCGCGUAGGCGGCCUGAUAAGUUGGAUGUGAAAGCCCUGGGCUCAACCUGGGAACUGCAUUUCGAACUGGCAGGCUAGAGUAUGGUAGAGGUAAGUGGAAUUUCCUGUGUAGCGGUGAAAUGCGUAGAUAUAGGAAGGAACACCAGUGGCGAAGGCGACUUACUGACCAAUACUGACACUGAGGUGCGAAAGCGCGUGGGGAGCAAACGGGAUUAGAUACCCCGGUAGUCCACGCCGUAAACGAUGUCUACUAGCCGUUGGGAGACUUGAUCUCUUAGUGGCGCAGCUAACGCAAUAAGUAGACCGCCUGGGGAGUACGGCCGCAAGGUUAAAACUCAAAUGAAUUGACGGGGGCCCGCACAAGCGGUGGAGCAUGUGGUUAUAAUUCGAUCAACGCGAAGAACCUUACCUGGUCUUGACAUCCUACGAACUUACUAGAGAUAGUUUGGUGCCUUCGGGAACGUAGUGACAGGUGCUGCAUGGCUGUCGUCAGCUCGUGUUGUGAAAUGUUGGGUUAAGUCCCGUAACGAGCGCAACCCUUAUCCUUAUUUCCAGCACAUAAUGGUGGGAACUCUAGGGAGACUGCCGGUGACAAACCGGAGGAAGGUGGGGACGACGUCAAGUCAUCAUGGCCCUUACGACCUGGGCUACACACGUGCUACAAUGGCAAGUACAGAGGGUCGCAAACUCGCGAGAGUAAGCUAAUCCCACAAAGCUUGUCUUAGUCCGGAUUGGAGUCUGCAACUCGACUCCAUGAAGUCGGAAUCGCUAGUAAUCGUAGAUCAGAAUGCUACGGUGAAUACGUUCCCGGGCCUUGUACACACCG